rnacentral:rRNA from 1 species
CGCCUCCUGCUAUUUACUACAUAGGAGGUCCCGCCUGCCCUGUGACCAAAAGUUUAACGGCCGCGGUAUUUUAACCGUGCGAAGGUAGCGCAAUCAAUUGUCUUUUAAAUGGAGACCUGUAUGAAUGGCACCACGAGGGUUUAACUGUCUCUUUAUCCUAGUCAAUGAAACUGAUCUACCCGUGCAGAAGCGGGUAUGAUUCUAUAAGACGAGAAGACCCUAUGGAGCUUUAGACGCUAACUAACCAUGAAAAGCAACCCGAAUAAAGAACUAUCAAAUAACAUGGCCAUAGCCUAAACGUCUUCGGUUGGGGCGACCACGGGAGAAAAUAAAGCUCCCAUGCGGACAGGGGAAACCCCUAGAACCCAGAGCCACAGCUCUAAGUCACAAAAAAUUUGACCGAUAAUGAUCCGGCUUAACUGCCGAUCAACGAACCAAGUUACCCUAGGGAUAACAGCGCAAUCCCCUCCCAGAGUCCAUAUCGACGAGGGGGUUUACGACCUCGAUGUUGGAUCAGGACAUCCUGAUGGUGCAGCCGCUAUCAAGGGUUCGUUUGUUCAACGAUUAAAGUCCU